AUUGAACGCUGGCGGCAGGCCUAACACAUGCCAGUCGAGCGGAUGAAGGGAGCUUGCUCCUGGAUUCAGCGGCGGACGGGUGAGUAAUUCCUAGGAAUCUGCCUGGUAGUGGGGGAUAACGUCCGUAAACGGGCGCUAAUACCGCAUACGUCCUGAGGGAGAAAGUGGGGGAUCUUCGGACCUCACGCUAUCAGAUGAGCCUAGGUCGGAUUAGCUAGUUGGUGGGGUAAAGGCCUACCAAGGCGACGAUCCGUAACUGGUCUGAGUGGAUGAUCAGUCACACUGGAACUGAGACACGGUCCAGACUCCUACGGGAGGCAGCAGUGGGGAAUAUUGGACAAUGGGCGAAAGCCUGAUCCAGCCAUGCCGGGUGUGUGAAGAAGGUCUUCGGAUUGUAAAGCACUUUAAGUUGGGAGGAAGGGCAGUAAGUUAAUACCUUGCUGUUUUGACGUUACCAACAGAAUAAGCCCCGGCUAACUUCGUG
rnacentral:rRNA from 1 species